ACAGGUGACGGUUUGUGAGGGCGGAACCAAAAGUGUGGAAGACGGGUUCCGCCCGAUGAUGGUUCCGCCCGGACGCUUCACCCUGAACACCGGAAUUUCCGGGGUUUCCCCGAAGCCGAAAUUAAGCCUGAUUACGCUCAGGUGGGGAUAAUUUACACAGCGGUUACUAAUAGGCUGACAAGGAGAAGAGUCAGAGCAUAAAAAGACCUUUGAAGACAUCAAACGGGGUGCUUGUGGUGUACUUUGUAUACGCUGUGUUGCUGCUUUGCAGACGGACUACGCUGGCUUGAUCGUUCCCCUGGGGAAGAGAGAAAGGCACAGUCAGCUAGCGAAGGAAUACUGGGAGACUUCACUCGGGAGAGAGCGGACACAGAGCAUUCAACAGGGCAGAUAUUAGAAGUCAUUGACAACGAAGAGUCCCUGGCCCCACUGAAAGGAAAGCGUGGGCGAGCCGCGGGUUGACCGGAAGCACGGACGAAACAAUUGGUAGGAAGCACCGUUCACCAAUAGAGCAGUGGCCCUGUGGGAAAAAGGAAGCGCAGGUGAGCCAGAGGAGCGAUAAAUAACACGCCGGGCCUGUGAAUAACACACAUCUCACUCUCAUUGGCGGUCCAGCUAUCGCCCAACUAUCCUCUCGAGGUAGUCGUAGCCAGGUGGCGAGGGCGAUCUAAAAAUCACGUGAAGUUGUAUAAGAGUGCUGUGGGUGAGUCUCACUGAUUGAUGGUGUUUACGCUUUACUUGCUGUGUGUAUGCUGUGCUUGUAGCGUCCAAACUGCCUAGCCUCAGACGAGCCGCGAGACGACGACAUCUGUUGUGGCCUGGGUCCUAAGGAGAGCGAGGAAAUUAAGCCCUGUGCCCUGGGUGUGUCAACGAGAGCUUCGUUCUGCCAUAGAGCAGACAGUGGUGAAACCCAGUGAGUAUUAUAAGAAGUGUACCGUGCGGAUUGAGGAUUAUAGCUGUGUGUGUACUGACCUUUCCAACAGAAGCUCGUGGUGAGCGGAGCCCCGACGAAAGUUCGCCCCAACUCGGGACCCUGGCCGUGGAGGUAGGAGGGGGAGUUUGGGAAGCGUUCGGCUCCGUGCCACUGGACCCACCAGUCCCUACGACGCCCGGACAACUUGAGUGGAUGGGCGAAGGAAUACGGUACACCAACGCUGUAGCGAAAACCCACUGUCUGCAAGUGAACGAAGACAUCCAGUGCUGAGGGUAACGUAACUGGUGAGCUGAAAUUAACCUGUGCUUAUAGCAAUCACCUACCUGUGUUCCAGCGAAGGCUCCGUGUGAGCAAAGAUCCCCAGUGCUGUGAGUAACGUAACUUGUGAAGUGAAAUUGUUCUGUGCUUAUAGCAAUCACCUACCUGUGUUCCAGCGAAGGCUCCGUGUGAGCGAAGAUCCCCAGUGCUGUGAGUAACGUAACCUGUGAAGUGAAAUUGUUCUGUGCUUAUAGCAAUCACCUACCUGUGUUCCAGCGAAGGCUCCGUGUGAGCGAAGAUCCCCAGUGCUGUGAGUAACGUAUUCUGGAAGUGGAAAUUAACCUGUGCUUACAGCGAUUACUUACUAGUGUUUGAAGACUCUUGGCGAGUGAGGAGCCCCAGUGUUGGUUUGAAGAGCCGCGUGACUAAGGCACGGGAGACAGAGAGAAAGAGGAAGAGGGGUGAGAAGAGUAGCGAUCUGCAACAAAGUAACACACCAUCAACUAACUUUUAUUUGAUUCUGCCUCCAGGAGAAGCGGAGCGCGCCACGGAUUCUCGGGCCGGAGCCCUAAAAGAGCCUCUGUCCCCAGUCCUUAUCCCAAGUGGCCCUGGAGGAGGGAAGAAGACCCAUUAGUUUUAAAUUACCCCUUCCCCUUUUUCCCCCUUCCUUUUAAAUAUUUAAUAAAGAUUAUUUUAACGAUA